UGAGGUGAGCUCCUGUCACUAGUCCCAGCUUCUGCCAACCUAGCAGUUCGAAAGCAUGCAAAUGCAAGUAGAUAAGUAGGUACCACUUUGGUGGGAAGGUAACAACAUUUGGUGCAGUCAUGACCACCAGAGGUGUAUUUGGACAACACUAGUACUUUGGCUUUGUAAUGGAGAUGAGCACCGCCCCCUCCAGUCAGUUAGACUAGACAUAUAUGUCAAGGAACUACCUUUACCUACCUUCACUUAGGUCUCUUACAUUAUACAAUUAUAGGACUUGUGCAUAUAGACUCCUGGGAUUUGUAGUUUCAUGAGGCAUAAUAUUUAGAAUUCUCUGCCAGAGACCUUUAGUGCGUCAGCAAAUAAAUUCUAGGAUUCUGUACGAUGCAGCCACGGCAGCUGAAAUGGUAUCAAAGUGCUAUAAUUGUGUAGUGUGAAAGAGGCAUGGAAUGAAGCAAGCAAGCUACUCUGUUGACUGGCCUAGAUGCCAGGUCCUCAGCCCUGUCAGUUCAGGGGAACUGGAAGGAAUGAGUUAAUUUACAGAGUGGCUCUUUUGAGUUCAAGAGGCAGGCUUAUUAACAAACUGGCUGUGUGAUACAAAAUACAAGCAGGAACCAGACAUGAAGGUAAACUGCCUGAGGGGCUUGCAUAUUUCACAGGGGGCAAAGAGGAGGGAAAUGUAAUUAUAUCUUACAGCAGCAGAGACAAACCAAAAGAAUACCUACAACACCUGAGCAGAAUACCAGAAACGCUGAGGAGGAAAUUGAGAAGAUUAAAAAUAUUAAGAUCAGUACCAUCAGUAUCCUGGCAUCUGUGGCAACUAAUGUCCAUGACGUCUCAUGGUUUUGUUGAUGGCCUCUUUUUCUAGAUUAUUAGAUAUCAUAGCAAUAAUACUAAUAACAAUAAUCCCAUAUUUUAGUUUUAUACAACAGGGAUGGGCAAAUCCUCUUUCAUUAAAAGCAGGAGAUUUGUGAUCCUGGAAGCCUCCAAUAAGCACAUUUCUUCUCUAAACUAAGACAAGGCAGUCCCUUGCUCUUACAUUUUUGACUAAUAAAAGGGAUUGGGGGAAAACUGGAAGUGUCUGGACAUGUUGGUUGGGGAGGGGGCUAUGACUGGCUGUAAAAGGAGAGAGAAAAAUUGGUGUGUUUUUUCUUAUGUACUCCCAAAGCACUUUUAAGUGCACCAUUUCUGCAAUCCUUACAACAAUCCUGUGAGUCCUAAAAAACGCCCUGUGAAAGUGUGUGGUACAGAUGGGCAUGAUGCUCAGGUCAAGUGGCUGUGCACAGUAUUCUGCAACAUUUCAGAGGUGACAGAUUUGACACCACUAUUCUUUAAUGCCAUUUUAAUUGUCAGUUUUGUAAGUUUUUAAUUGAACUAUGUUUUUAGACUAAGCCGCUUUGAGUCCCAAUUUUGGGGGAAAGCGAGGUAUGUAUAAACAAACAAAUAAUAUCUUCAUCUCAACUAUCAUGUCUUGAUUCCUCCCACCUUUGCCUUCCAAUAUUUACCCAUUUUCCAAUAGUCUGUCCUUCACUGACUUCUGUUUUAUCUAUUCACUGAAAGCACUUUUAGUCAGUUUUAGGACUAGCUCUCCUAAAAUGACCAGAGUAGGAUUGCUUUGAGAAACUGUACUGAAACAAUUAUGGCAUCAGUGAAAGGCAGCACUGAAUGAAUAAACAGAGGGGGGACAGUAGAAAGGGAGUCCCACUGUUUUAGGGGUUGUCACACUUUGGGGGCAGGAGUACACAGAAUGGAUGUUUCCCUGAUCUUGUGGUAUGGGAUUUUAAUAAUGCCCAAGUGAAGUUACAAAAAACAUUUGUAGUGUAACCCUUGAUCUUGUCUGUUCAAGUCUACCACAGGUAUUGCAAUCUUUUGAAUUCUCUAGACAUUAGUAUUGUGGCUUCUGUAGUGCAUGGCUCAGAUGCUGGCGAAUCGUCAGUAAAGAAACUCUUCUAGAACAUGGCCACAUAGCCCGAAAAACCCACAAAAAACUAUGGGUGCCGGCCAUGAAAGCAUUUGACUUCCCAUUCUGGAAACAGUUUAUCAAUUCUCAUUAAGCUGCUUUGUUUAAAUGUUGUCAAUGUUGCUGAAGUCAUUAAAUAUGUGCAAAAAUUAAUAUAUUGUACUGCCAGAUUUAGUAGGACAGGAAGGCCUACAGAGAGAGAGAGAGAGAGAGAGAGAGAGAAAUAGGAUUGGCCUCAUCUAAUGCUCUUUCUAGGGAGCAGAACCCAGAUGAACAAUAAUAGAGAAGUAAUUGAAGAGCUGAGAUUGGGGAGCAAUUGAUAAAGAAUGAAAAGAAGGGAAAAAGUGAGAAAUGGAAUAGGGUGGGGAAGUGAUUUAUUUGCCCUCAGAAGUUGUGGCCCUUCAGGUCCUUUAGACCUGAUAAGUUACUGCCAGUUCCCUUGAUCUACUGUAUAUAUUCAUGUAUAAGUCUAGAAAUUUUGGUCGAAAAACUGAUCCAAAAAAACUGAGUCGCCUUAUCCAGGGGUCAAUGUAAGUACUGUAUUCUAAUUCCUAUUUAAAAUGGAUCCAUCCCAUGGUGAAAGGCAAGAGCGUAAUCUAUCCUGGAAGCACUGAUCCCACCCCAUUCUCUCAUCCAUUCGGUCUUUAGUAUGAGCAGAGUUAUGCCUGCUAGAAUUUUCUAAGUUCUUUGGCACUGUUUUCCUUUCCUUCAUCCUUUAGAUUCCCAGGACCCAGGUUGACAACUUCUCUACCAUUCUCUGUAAAUCCCAUGGUCUACUCGAGAAAUGAAAAAGUUAAAUAACAAAUUAAUCCAUGGUAGCUCACCUAAUUCAAACAUUUCUAUAAUGAGUAUUACUGGCAAAGAAUUAAUCCCCCGAUUUCUAACAUUUAAUAUUAUCUUAUUUUCAAAUCUAAGUCAUGCUUUUGCUUGACUUAGACAAGAUAGCUUUACAAGCCAUUGAGAUUCAUAUUUCCAAAUCAGGAAACAUGCAUUUGGCAACUUGACUAGCAAGAUACAUUCUUCUUGCUCCAAAACAUUUUGGACCUAUGUUUCCAAGUCAGUGUGUAGUAAUUUGCUCUGUUGCAUGUAGAAUGGUAGAUUUGCUAGAGCUGGCUGACUGUGUCUGGAUUUUUUGAAAAAGUGGGGAAGGAUAUGUCUGCUUCUGUGGGUGUGUCAGCAGUGUUGACAGUAGCAGCAUCAAAACCUGUUGAAAGGAGAGGCACACAGCAAGGCUACCCUUUGACACCACAGCUGAUAUAGUGCAGCCAGAGUCCAUAACAUAGCCAGAUGAGCCAACGGUCUGAUUCUGUAUAAGGCAGCUUCCUGUAUUCCCACGUUCCAUAUCCUGUGUCUCAAUGCUCAAGGGACUGUCCACAUCAAGAUCCACAACAGUUUUCUCCAGUUAAAAUGGUGUUGUUCGUCAAGUGAAGCCCAUCAUUGGCCCUUUCUAUGCCACCUUGAAACUAGAGAUGAACUACGUUGUAGGCGGUGUCGUCUCUCACCGUAAUAUUGUCAACGUGCACAUCUUUGUUUCCGAAUACUGGUUCUGAUUGAUCCUGCCCUUUUGAUGGAAGCAGGAGGGCUCCAAGAAAGACUCCACCAUGAACCCCUAGAAUGGUGUAUACCUUUUUGGACAGGAUGGGAUGGGAAAGUAAAAAUGAAAUAAUUUUCUUGUUUUUUAAAAAACAUAUCUGGCUCAUUGUUUAAUUAAAGGUUGAAUAGCAAACUAUCUAAAAUAGAUGUAGGGUGGAGCAAUAUCCUAGAAUCCACUCUAGUCAUACUCUGUAUAUAAAACAAAUAGUGUGUCUAGCUGCCCCUCAUCUUGCUCAUUUUAGAGAUCCAUAAAACAGGGUGAUACAUGCAAGAUUUUGCAGGAUCAGAACCUUGCCUGCCCUCACCCUUGCCACCUCCAUUAUCUCAGAAUAGCUGGCCUGUCCAUAAAAGCAAGUUUUCCCACAGUUUAGUGCCUUCAGGGACAGAAUCCAAUUGGUAUUUACAAGCCUAUAACUCCCCCCACCCAUGCAUUGGCACUCCAUAUAUUUUCCUACAUGGGCAGAGAGUGUCUGUCUGUCUGUAUGUGUGUGUGUAUUAGGAUUUCAUUAAAAGGGCACUGAGGUCAAGAGAAUAUCAGUUAACAUGAUUGUGGAAGACGAAUACAGUGGCUCAGAUACAUUGGCUCAGAUCCUACAGGUAGUCGCAACUACCAUAGACCCUUUGACUCAGUAGGAUUUACCCAAGCUCUAAGCCACCAUUAAACAAUUGUUGCAACUGGACAACUCUAGCUGGGAUCACCAACAAGGCUUAAAUCGGUGUCCCCAAGAUAUUGAGGCACUAAAUGAUAACAUACGGAGCGUCACCCAAGGAACUGUUAAUAUUUCCGUGACCUGGAUCCAAAGAGUUGCAUGGCUGUUUCGAAUUGAGUUUUGGACUUGCCCCAAACAGCACUGGCUCAUGUUGUGUGGCAAACCAGUUUUAAAACAGAAGGGAGGGAUAUGGCAUGGGAGUCUGCUGUUCAAAUGGAAAAAUAAGGAAAACUGCUUAAGGCUUUCUGAAGCCUUUGAACACCCAAAAUGUAGUUGUUUGGCACUUCCUUAAAGUCAUAGAGCCUACGGUUUUAGAACUGAAGGGGCAGACAUACAUAAAUUUGAAACUUUAACUACGAGUUCCAUAAGAAUUAACAACUCAGGGCAUUUUUGGCAUAGUUGGUGCAUUGCAUAGUGUAACUACACUGGCAGUGGCAGGAGUACAGAGGCCACAAGUACAGAGUCUGUGAAGGAAGGGAGGCAUUGGGAGAAACAGACUGCUCCAAGAUAGCAGAUUUUAUCUAUCUUCCCUCACCAUCAUUGCGUGACCAGGCAAAAUGUGCAGUUGCUAGCAUAGUGUACCAAAUGGAUUCUAGCCACACAUCUAACCUCUUCAUACAGAUAUACUCUUUUCUGUAAGCAUUUUGAAUUUUCACAUUAUAUUAAUAUAGUGAGAGAGAGAUUGGGUGUGUGAGAGUCUUGCUAUGUUGAUUUUAGUGUAGAGAAGAAUUUUUCAUUGACUGGAUGUUUUUGAGAAACAGUAGGUGACAUGAUACCUAGCGCUGGCAUUGCCCAGAGCACAGACACAUUUUUUUCUUCCACUGCAUCGCUGGUGAAACAUGUUUUGCAGGUUUAUGAAACAACAUAAAAACCUAUACAGUCUGUAAACAGAGCUUAUGAUAGGAUUCAUAUGUAUUCCAUCAGAAAUUAUGUCUGCAUUGCAACAUCUUGAAGCAUACUCCAUCUCUAGCCUUGAGCUGAUCAUGGAUACAAAAGAGAAAUCUGUUUGUAGAACUGAGAUAUGAAAUCUCACUAAAAUGGUCCUGUUCUAUAUGGAAACUUUUGGACUUAGCAUAUGGUAAAGAGAUGGUGGUGGUACUGAAUUAAGCUGGGUGUAUGACUACACUACAUACUAUCAUUUCUUUCUAUUCCAAACAGGCCUGGGAUUUGAAAUUCAGCAAUGUGUUCAGAGAAUUCACUUGGAGAUCCCUAGCCUCUUUUAAAGGAAUUACAGUUACUAGUGUUCUGUGAAGAAAAGUACCACAACAAUUGUGCUCAAGGCUUUGCAUAGCAAACCUAGGUGUGAGCCAAUAAUGUAAAAUAACCAUCUUCAAUAAAUGAGUGUUGUAUGUAUUUACAGUUUCUAAUGAUAAUGUAUCCUUUUUGUUACAAAUAUGAAAAUAAACUUCCAUUUUUAAUUUCCUUUUUUAAA